rnacentral:snRNA from 1 species
GUACUUGCUUCAGCAACACAUAUACUAAAACUGGUAUUAUACUGAGAAGGUCAGCAAGGCCUCUGCAUAAAGAAGACAAAGGAGGAAGAGGAGGAUUUAU